rnacentral:rRNA from 1 species
CUGGAAAAAAAAUUAGAGUGUUCAAGCAAGCCUUGCUCGAAUACGUAGCGUGGAAUAAUAAAAUAGGGCGUGCGUUCUAUUUGUUGUUUCUAGAGACGCCGCAAUGAUUACAGAACAGUCGGGGGCAUCAGUAUUCAGUGUCAGAGGUGAAAUUCUUGGAUUUACUGAAGACUAACUACUGCGAAAGCAUUUGCCAAGGAUGUUUUCAUUAAUCAGUGAACGAAAGUUAGGGGAUCGAAGACGAUCAGAUACCGUCGUAGUCUUAACCGUAAACUAUGCCGACUAGGGAUCGGGCGAUGUUCUUUUUCUGACUCGCUCGGCACCUUACGAGAAAUCAAAGUUUUUGGGUUCUGGGGGGAUUAUGGUCGCAAGGCUGAAACUUAAAGAAAUUGACGGAAGGUCACCACCAGGCGUGGAGCCUGCGGCCUAAUUUGACUCAACACGGGGAAACUCACCAGGUCCAGAUGAAAUAAGGAUUGACAGAUUGAGAGCUCUUUCUUGAUUUUUCAGGUGGUGGUGCAUGGCCGUUCUUAGUUCGUGGGGUGACUUGUCUGCUUAAUUGCGAUAACGAGCGAGACCUUACUCUGCUAAAUAGCCAGGCUAACUUUGGUUGGUCGCCGGCUUCUUAGAGAGACUAUCAACUCAAGUUGAUGGAAGUUUGAGGCAAUAACAGGUCUGUGAUGCCCUUAGAUGUUCUGGGCCGCACGCGCGCUACACUGACAGAGCCAACGAGUUCUUUUCCUUGUUCGAAAGAAUUGGGUAAUCUUGUUAAACUCUGUCGUGCUGGGGAUAAAGCAUUGCAAUUAUUGCUUUUCAACGAGGAAUGCCUAGUAAGCGCGUGUCAUCAGCAUGCGUUGAUUACGUCCCUGACCUUUGCACACACCGCCCGUC